AGAAUGACUCUCGGCAACGGAUAUCUCGGCUCUUGCAUCGAUGAAGAACGUAGCGAAAUGCGAUACUUGGUGUGAAUUGCAGAAUCCCGUGAACCAUCGAGUCUUUGAACGCAAGUUGCGCCUGAAGCCAUUAGGCUGAGGGCACGCCUGCCUGGGUGUCACAC
rnacentral:rRNA from 1 species